UUGCAAGGUUACCAGUUCGGUUUUCAUUGGAGGUUUUUUUUUGAAGAUCAAGGGAAUUAGAGAGAGGAGCUUCAUGCUUCGGGUCGGGGAAGGAAAGACAUAGAAUUUGGAUUUUUCUUCUUCGUAGAGUUUUGGGAAGAUUGAGGCAAUCGCUGCUGAAGUCAGUGUUGUAAUGGUGAAUCGGGAUUUUUAAAUGAAGUGGGUUUGAAUACUCUUGACUGUUUUGUAAAAUCGAGUUACGUCUGUGAUUGAAGGAUUAAAGGGAUGUCUAUAGGAUUGAGUAUGCGGAGUGAAUGAAAUUUAUUGGAUUAAUCUAACAGGACAGUCACUGGAUACAAGAUCGUAAGUACAAAGGGGUAUUGAAGAUUAACAGUUUGGGUUGUUCGGGGUUCUCUGUAACGUCUAGAGACCUAUCGGCUGGGAAAAAAAAAAGACUUCGACAAGCAAUCGAAGAGCAUCCGUAUAGAUUUACGGUACAUUGUUGCAGUGGUUUAUAUUCCAGCAGUCAAAAACUGAUAGACUGCUUGACUAUCGGCAAAUCUCCAUACUACCUUCUACAGCCAGACGCCCAGCGCGUUCUCGAGCAGGAAAGCACAUAAUAUGACACCGGAGUCAAUGAAGAUCCAUCCUGUAUUCCACGUGUCUCUUCUUGAACCAUGUAAGACAGUGGAUAUACAAGGAAGAAGACAAAUGCCACCGCCUCCUAUAGAAGUA
rnacentral:lncRNA from 1 species